rnacentral:rRNA from 1 species
AUUGAACGCUGGCGGCAUGCCCUACACAUGCAAGUCGAACGGCAGCACGGGUGCUUGCACCUGGUGGCGAGUGGCGAACGGGUGAGUAAUACAUCGGAACGUACCUUAUCGUGGGGGGUAACAAAUUGAAAAAUUUGCUAAUACCGCAUAAUACUCUGAGGAGGAAAGCGGGGGAUUCGUAGGAACCUCGUGCGAUUAGAGCGGCCGAUGGCUGAUUAGCUAGUUGGUGAGGUAAAGGCCCACCAAGGCAACGAUCAGUAGCAGGUCUGAGAGGAUGAUCUGCCACACUGGAACUGAGAAACGGUCCAGACUCCUACGGGAGGCAGCAGUGGGGAAUUUUGGACAAUGGACGAAAGUCUGAUCCAGCAAUGCCGCGUGAGUGAAGAAGGCCUUCGGGUUGUAAAGCUCUUUUGUCAGUGAAGAAAACUUUAAUAAUAACACUAUUAAAGCAUGACGGUAACUGAAGAAUAAGGACCGGCUAACUACGUGCCAGCCGCCGCCGUAA